rnacentral:misc_RNA from 1 species
AUGACAAAUUUUAUCAUAAAAAAAAAUAUUUUAUUAGCAAUAUUAGAUAAAUCCUUAUUUAAAUUACCAACUCCAGUUAAUGUAUCUAUUUGAUGAAAUUUUGGAAGGUUAUUAGGUUUAUUUUUGAUAGUACAAUUAAUUUCAGGAUUAUUUUUAUCAAUACAUUAUGUUUCUAAUAUUAAUUAUUCAUUUUUUAGAAUUAUUCAUAUUAUUCAAGAUGUUAAUUAUGGGUGAUUAAUACGAUUAAUUCAUAUAAAUGGAGCUUCAUUUUUUUUUUUUUGUGUAUAUUUUCAUAUUGGUCGUGGAUUAUAUUAUGGUUCUUUUAAAUUAAUUUAUACUUGAUUUAUUGGUAUUAUAAUUUUUUUAUUAAUAAUAGGAACUGCUUUUAUAGGAUAUGUUUUACCUUGAGGACAAAUAUCCUUUUGAGGAGCUACUGUAAUUACUAAUUUAUUAUCUGCUAUUCCAUAUAUUGGUCAAAUAAUAGUUGAAUGAUUAUGAGGAGGAUUUUCAGUUGAUAAUUCAACUUUAAAUCGAUUUUAUACUUUUCAUUUUUUAAUACCUUUUAUUUUAAUUAUAUUAGUUUUAAUUCAUUUAAUAUUUUUACAUGAAACUGGGUCUAAUAAUCCAUUAGGAAUAAAUAGAAAUUUAUAUAAAAUCUCUUUUCAUAAUUAUUAUACUUUAAAAGAUUUAUUAGGUUUUAUAAUCUUAAUUAUUUUAUUAAUAAUUAUUAUUAUAGAAUUUCCUUAUAUUUUAGGGGAUCCAGAAAAUUUUGUUAUAGCAAAUUCUAUAAUUACUCCUGUUCAUAUUCAACCUGAAUGAUAUUUUUUAUUUGCUUAUACUAUUUUACGUUCAAUUCCUGAUAAGUUAAGAGGUGUAAUAGCUUUAUUAAUAUCUAUUUUAAUUUUAUAUUUAAUACCUAUUUUAAAUAUAAAAAAUAAAUUUCAAAGAUAUUUUUUUUACCCUUUAAAUCAAAUAUAUUUUUGAUUAUAUAUUUGUAUUUUUUUAAUAUUAACUUGAUUAGGAUCUCAACCAGUUGACUAUCCUUAUGUUGAAUUAAGACAAAUUUUAACUAUUAUAUAUUUUUUAUAUUAUUUUUUAAGAAGAUUAAUCAUUAAUAUAUGAGAUUUAAAUAUAAAAUUUUAG